GUGCGUAGGUGGCCCUGCAAGUCCGUGGUGAAAGCCUGCUGCUCAACAGCAGAACUGCCAUGGAUACUACAGGGCUUGAGUCCAGACGAGGUUGGCGGAAUGGAUGGUGUAGCGGUGAAAUGCAUAGAUACCAUCCAGAACCCCGAUUGCGUAGGCAGCUGACUAGGCUGGUACUGACACUGAGGCACGAAAGCGUGGGGAGCGAACAGGAUUAGAUACCCUGGUAGUCCACGCCGUAAACGAUGGAUACUCGCUGUGGGCGAUACACAGUCCGCGGCUUAGCGAAAGCGUUAAGUAUCCCACCUGGGGAGUACGCCGGCAACGGUGAAACUCAAAGGAAUUGACGGGGGCCCGCACAAGUGGUGGAGCAUGUGGUUUAAUUCGAUGAUACGCGAGGAACCUUACCGAGGCUAGAAUGCGCGUGACCGGUUCAGAGAUGGACCUUUCCUUCGGGACACAAAGCAAGGUGCUGCAUGGCCGUCGUCAGCUCGUGCCGUGAGGUGUUGGGUCUAGUCCCGCAACGAGCGCAACCCCUAUGUUUAGUU
rnacentral:rRNA from 1 species